rnacentral:rRNA from 1 species
AGAGUUUGAUCCUGGCUCAGGAUGAACGCUAGCGGCAGGCUUAACACAUGCAAGUCGAGGGGCAGCGCGUGGCGGCAACGUCAUGGCGGCGACCGGCGGAAGGGUGCGUAACGCGUGAGUGACAUGCCCGUUGCCCGUGGACAACCGGUGGAAACGCCGACUAAUCCACGAUGGGACGAGUUGCUGCAUGGCAGCUCGUUGAAAGUUACGGCGGCGACGGAUUGGCUCGCGUCCGAUUAGCUGGUUGGCGGGGUAACGGCCCACCAAGGCUACGAUCGGUAGGGGUUCUGAGAGGAAGGUCCCCCACAAUGGAACUGAGACACGGUCCAUACUCCUACGGGAGGCAGCAGUGAGGAAUAUUGGUCAAUGGGCGGAAGCCUGAACCAGCCAUGCCGCGUGCGGGAAGGAGGCCCUAUGGGCUGUGAACCGCUUUUGCCUGGGGGCAAUAAGGGCGCCGUGCGCGCCCGAUGAGAGUACCAGGCGAAUAAGCAUCGGCUAACUCCGUGCCAGCAGCCGCGGUAAUACGGGGGAUGCGAGCGUUAUCCGGAUUCAUUGGGUUUAAAGGGUGCGUAGGCUGUGCGUCAAGUCGGGGGUGAAAUUCCGGUGCUCAACACCGGGGCUGCCCUUGAUACUGUCGCGCUGGAGUGCGGAUGCCGCCGGAGGAAUGAGUGGCGUAGCGGUGAAAUGCUUAGAUAUCACUCAGAACACCGAUUGCGAAGGCAUCUGGCGAAUCCGUAACUGACGCUGAGGCACGAAAGCGUGGGGAUAGAACAGGAUUAGAUACCCUGGUAUUCCACGCCCGUAAACUGAUGAUGGCUAACCCCCGGC